GGGGAUUUAGCUCAGUGGCAUAAGCGCCUGCCUUGCAAGCAGGCAACCAUGAGUUCAAUCCCCA
rnacentral:tRNA from 1 species